AUUAAACGCUGGCGGCAUGCCUUACACAUGCAAGUCGAACGGCAGCACGGGGCAACCUGGUGGCGAGUGGCGAACGGGUGAGUAAAGCAUCGGAACGUGCCCUGGAGUGGGGGAUAACGUAGCGAAAGUUACGCUAAUACCGCAUAUUCUGUGAGCAGGAAAGCAGGGGAUCGCAAGACCUUGCGCUCUGGGAGCGGCCGAUGUCGGAUUAGCUAGUUGGUGGGUAAAGGCCUACCAAGGCGACGAUCCGUAGCGGGUCUGAGAGGAUGAUCCGCCACACUGGGACUGAGACACGGCCCAGACUCCUACGGGAGGCAGCAGUGGGGAAUUUUGGACAAUGGGCGCAAGCCUGAUCCAGCCAUGCCGCGUGAGUGAAGAAGGCCU
rnacentral:rRNA from 1 species